GACGAACGCUGGCGGCGUGCUUAACACAUGCAAGUCGAACGGAGUGGCGAACGGGUGAGUAACACGUGAGUAACCUGCCCUUGACUUCGGGCUCACUUCAGGAAACUGGGGCUAAUACCGGAUAGUUUUGGAUGGAGUCGCGGCUUAUCAGCUUGUUGGUGGGGUAGUGGCUUACCAAGGCUUUGACGGGUAGCCGGCCUGAGAGGGCGACCGGCCACAUUGGGACUGAGAUACGGCCCAGACUCCUACGGGAGGCAGCAGUGGGGAAUAUUGCACAAUGGGCGCAAGCCUGAUGCAGCCAUGCCGCGUGUGUGAAGAAGGCCUUCGGGUUGUAAAGCACUUUCAGCGGGGAGGCGUUACCCGCAGAAGAAGCACCGGCUAACUCCGUGCCAGCAGCCGCGGUAAUUC
rnacentral:rRNA from 1 species